rnacentral:rRNA from 1 species
UAGUAACGGCGAGUGAAGCGGGAAGAGCUCAAAUUUAAAAUCUGGCUUGCUUGCAAGUCCGAGUUGUAGUCUGAAGAAACGUUUUCCAUGAAAGCUGAGGCACAAGUCCUUUGGAACAGGGCAUCAUAGAGGGUGAGAAUCCCGUCCAUGGUCUCAUGCAUUUCAUUUUGUGAUACGUUUUCUAAGAGUCAGGUUGUUUGGGAAUGCAGCCUAAAAUGGGUGGUAAAUUUCAUCUAAAGCUAAAUAUUGGCGAGAGACCGAUAGCGAACAAGUACCGUGAGGGAAAGAUGAAAAGAACUUUGAAAAGAGAGUUAAAAAGUACGUGAAAUUGUUGAAAGGGAACCGUUUGAAGCCAGUCUUGCUUACUUGUGAUCAAUCUUAGCUUCGGCUUGGAUGCACUCUCGAGUUAUGCAGGUCAACGUCAGUUUGAGAGGUGGGAAAAAAGUUUGAGGAAUGUGGCCUUCGGGUGUUAUAGCCUCUUACUAAAUACCAUCUCCUGGACUGAGGCUCGCAGCAAAAAUGUGGGUUGGUUUGCUCCUGAGGUGAAUCAUUAUUAAGACAGCUUGCUGACUUAGUUUUGUGGAUCUUCACGGUAGACCAGCUUCUAAUUUGCUUAGGUCGUUGACAUAAUGGCUUUAAAUGACCCGUCUUGAAACACGGACCAAGGAGUCUAACAUAUAUGCGAGUAUUUGGGUGUCAAACCCACAUGCGCAAUGAAAGUGAAAUUAGGUGCCAAACCCGCAAGGGUGGCAGCAUCGGCCGGCUUUAACGUUUCUAACUGACGAGUCUGAGCAGAAGCAUACAUGUUGGGACCCGAAAGAUGGUGAACUAUGCCUGAAUAGGGUGAAGCCAGAGGAAACUCUGGUGGAGGCUCGUAGCGAUUCUGACGUGCAAAUCGAUCGUCAAAUUUGGGUAUAGGGGCGAAAGACUAAUCGAACAUCUAGUAGCU